CGAGGGGCAGCACAGGUAGCAAUACCGGGUGGCGACCGGCGCACGGGUGAGUAACGCGUAUGCAACUUGCCUAUCAGAGGGGGAUAACCCGGCGAAAGUCGGACUAAUACCGCAUGAAGCAGGGGCCCCGCAUGGGGAUAUUUGCUAAAGAUUCAUCGCUGAUAGAUAGGCAUGCGUUCCAUUAGGCAGUUGGCGGGGUAACGGCCCACCAAACCGACGAUGGAUAGGGGUUCUGAGAGGAAGGUCCCCCACAUUGGUACUGAGACACGGACCAAACUCCUACGGGAGGCAGCAGUGAGGAAUAUUGGUCAAUGGGCGAAAGGCUGAACCAGCCAAGUCGCGUGAGGGAUGAAGGUUCUAUGGAUCGUAAACCUCUUUUAUAAGGGAAUAAAGUGCGGGACGUGUCCCGUUUUGUAUGUACCUUAUGAAUAAGGAUCGGCUAACUCCGUGCCAGCAGCCGCGGUAAUACGGAGGAUCCGAGCGUUAUCCGGAUUUAUUGGGUUUAAAGGGUGCGU
rnacentral:rRNA from 1 species